GCGCCUUGCAGGCGGCGCGCGGACCUUGGGAAACCGGCUCUGAGCAUCGCUGUGAGGCAGCCAAGGACUGGAGGAAAAGAGGAAGACAGUAACUUGACAGUGGAGAAACCUGGAAGCCAUUGCCUUAACCGAGUCAUGAAGAAUAACAACACCCGUCCUGGAGGCAGAAAAACCAUCUUGUGCCCAUGAGGGAGAACACCAAACAAAUCUGGAUGACUUCCUUGAGUAGCUGCAUUUAUAUUGGACUGUCUACCUCCUGACUUCUUGUCUUGUGAUGCUACAUGAAUUGCUGUCCACACCUUCUGCUACUUUCCUCUGUUGGCCAGAAGAAUAAUUUUAAUGUCGCCCAAAUGGAUUAUGCUGACCUCAACCCAGAUCCCCCUGGGAGAUAUAAACUUCUUAUAUGUUCCUGGCUGGGUCAUUGUAAAUAAUAUCUACAUGUAUCCCAAAGCUCUGAAUUAUCCUCAUCUGUAACAGACACAACGACUAAAUGGUAUCUGGAACGUAGUUAAUUUUCUGGAAAAUAUUCAAAGGAACAAAAUGAGCACUGCAAUACAAAAUUGCUGUCGACUUAACUUUUGCCAGUUUCCCUGGAUGUGUAAGUAGAAUUAUAUUUUCACAGAACUUGCAAAAA
ensembl:lncRNA SNRPF-DT SNRPF divergent transcript